rnacentral:tRNA from 1 species
GGCACGGCCUGGCCGGGGGGCACGGCGCGGCCCGCUCAGGCCGUGCCGCGGCGGGGCUGCCGGGCGCUCGGUGAGCGCCCGGUGGGCCCCC